AAACUUAAAUGAAUUGACGGGGACCCGCACAAGCGGUGGAUGAUGUGGUUUAAUUCGAUGCAACGCGAAAAACCUUACCCACCUUUGACAUGGCAGGAAUCCUGAAGAGAUUCGGGAGUGCUCGAAAGAGAACCUGCACACAGGUGCUGCAUGGCUGUCGUCAGCUCGUGUCGUGAGAUGUUGGGUUAAGUCCCGCAACGAGCGCAACCCUUGCCAUUAGUUGCUACGAAAGGGCACUCUAAUGGGACUGCCGGUGACAAACCGGAGGAAGGUGGGGAUGACGUCAAGUCCUCAUGGCCCUUAUAGGUGGGGCUACACACGUCAUACAAUGGCCGGUACAGAGGGUAGCCAACCCGCGAGGGGGAGCCAAUCCCGCAAAGCCGGUCGUAGUCCGGAUCGCAGUCUGCAACUCGACUGCGUGAAGUCGGAAUCGCUAGUAAUCGCGGAUCAGAAUGUCGCGGUGAAUACGUUCCCGGGUCUUGUACACACCGCCCGUCACACCAUGGGAGCGGGUUCUGCCAGAAGUAGUUAGCCUAACCGCAAGGAGGGCGAUUACCACGGCAGGGUUCGUGACUGGGGUGAAGUCGUAACAAGGUAGCCGUAUCGGAAGGUGCGGCUGGAUCACCUCCUUU
rnacentral:rRNA from 1 species